GACGAACGCAGGCGGCGUGCCUAACACAUGCAGGUCGAACGUGAUUUUUGUGGAAAUUCUUUCGGGAAUGGAAAUGAAAUGAAAGUGGCGAACGGGUGAGUAACACGUGAGCAACCUACCUUACACAGGGGGAUAGCCGUUGGAAACGACGAUUAAUACCGCAUGAGACCACAGAAUCGCAUGAUAUAGGGGUCAAAGAUUUAUCGGUGUAAGAAGGGCUCGCGUCUGAUUAGCUAGUUGGAAGGGUAAAGGCCUACCAAGGCGACGAUCAGUAGCCGGUCUGAGAGGAUGAACGGCCACAUUGGAACUGAGACACGGUCCAAACUCCUACGGGAGGCAGCAGUGGGGAAUAUUGCACAAUGGGGGGAACCCUGAUGCAGCGACGCCGCGUGAGCGAAGAAGGUUUUCGAAUCGUAAAGCUCUGUCCUAUGAGAAGAUAAUGACGGUAUCAUAGGAGGAAGCCCCGGCUAAAUACGUGCCAGCAGCCGCGGUAAUACGUAUGGGGCGAGCGUUGUCCGGAAUUAUUGGGCGUAAAGGGUACGUAGGCGGUUUUUUAAGUCAGGUGUGAAAGCGUGAGGCUUAACCUCAUUAAGCACUUGAAACUGGAAGACUUGAGUGAAGGAGAGGAAAGUGGAAUUCCUAGUGUAGCGGUGAAAUGCGUAGAUAUUAGGAGGAAUACCGGUGGCGAAGGCGACUUUCUGGACUUUUACUGACGCUCAGGUACGAAAGCGUGGGGAGCAAACAGG
rnacentral:rRNA from 1 species